rnacentral:rRNA from 1 species
CCUACGGGGAGGCAGCAGCUAAGAAUCUUCCGCAAUGGGCGCAAGCCUGACGGAGCGACGCCGCGUGAACGAUGAAGGCCGUGAGGUUGUAAAGUUCUUUUCGGGAGGGGGAAUGAGCCUGCCAGGCAAUGGGCGGGCGAUGACGUGAAUCCCGGAAUAAGCCCCGGCUAACUACGUGCCAGCAGCCGCGGUAACACGUAGGGGGCGAGCGUUGUUCGGAAUCAUUGGGCGUAAAGGGCGUGCAGGCGGCCGCCAAAGUCCGGCGUGAAAGACCCAGGCUCAACCUGGGGGGUGCGCCGGAUACUGGGCGGCUUGAGUACAGGAGGGGAUGGCGGAAUUCCAGGUGUAGGGGUGAAAUCUGUAGAUAUCUGGAGGAACACCGAUGGCGAAGGCAGCCGUCUGGCCAUGUACUGACGCUGAGGCGCGAAGGUGCGGGGAGCAAACAGGUUUAGAUACCCUGGUAGUCCGCACAGUAAACGAUGUGCACCAGGCGGCGGGGGCAACCUCGCUGCCGCAGUCAACGCAUUAA